AGAGUUUGAUUAUGGCUCAGGACGAGCGCUGGCGGCGUGCUUAACACAUGCAAGUCGAGCGGAGAAUAUAGCAAUAUAUUCUUAGCGGCGGACGGGUGAGUAACGCGUGGGUAACCUGCCUUUUACUGGGGGAUAACACUGGGAAACUAGUGCUAAUACCGCAUAAAUAGUGAAGUGGCAUCACUUUACUAUCAAAGGAGCAAUCCGGUAAAAGAUGGACCCGCGUCCGAUUAGCUAGUUGGAGGGUAACGGCCCACCAAGGCGACGAUCGGUAGCCGAACUGAGAGGUUGAUCGGCCACAUUGGGACUGAGACACGGCCCAGACUCCUACGGGAGGCAGCAGUGGGGAAUAUUGCGCAAAUGGGGGAAACCCUGACGCAGCAACGCCGCGUGAAGGAUGAAGGUUUUCGGAUUGUAAACUUCUUUGAUUGGGGACGAUAAUGACGGUACCCAAAAAACAAGCCACGGCUAACUACGUGCCAGCAGCGGC
rnacentral:rRNA from 1 species